AGCGAACGCUGGCGGCAGGCUUAACACAUGCAAGUCGAGCGGGCGUAGCAAUACGUCAGCGGCAGACGGGUGAGUAACGCGUGGGAACGUGCCUUUUGGUUCGGAACAACACAGGGAAACUUGUGCUAAUACCGGAUAAGCCCUUACGGGGAAAGAUUUAUCGCCAAAAGAUCGGCCCGCGUCUGAUUAGCUUGUUGGUGAGGUAACGGCUCACCAAGGCUACGAUCAGUAGCUGGUCUGAGAGGAUGAUCAGCCACACUGGGACUGAGACACGGCCCAGACUCCUACGGGAGGCAGCAGUGGGGAAUAUUGGACAAUGGGCGCAAGCCUGAUCCAGCCAUGCCGCGUGAGUGAUGAAGGCCCUAGGGUUGUAAAGCUCUUUCGGCGGGGAAGAUAAUGACGGUACCCGCAUAAGAAGCCCCGGCUAACUUCGUGCCAGCAGCCGCGGUAACAC
rnacentral:rRNA from 1 species